rnacentral:lncRNA from 1 species
GUCAUUCUUUAGGAGAGGCCAGGAAGGACUGGCAGCAUUUCCCAUCCCUCCUCUCCACCCGCAGACCCAUCUUCCUCUGCAAAAUCAGAUGAUAAUGGUGCCUGAUGAGCUCCAGCCUCGCCUUGGCAUUGCAAAGAAAUGUGGAGAACAUGGCCAACAAACAUGCAGUUGCAUUACAGAUUUGCCUUUUCCAGAUGGUUAGCUCAUGUCAGAAGCCAGGAAAUAUAUUGCUUACAGCCCUGCAUGUGUUUCUGAAGAAGAAUCCUGAUAAAUGUGUCUGAUCUUUGCAAAUAACAAAAUUGGCAUGAUUCAUAGGAGGAAAAUGGCUCUACUCUAGUGUAGUAAAUUAGAUAUUACUCAAGCCAUGUUAGUUAGACAUCUUUAAAUGUUUGUUCUUACUUUAAAAUUAAUGAAGCUAAUUUAAGGAUGCUGUUACAACUAUGCAUCUAAGGUGCUUGCAUACUGGAAAAAAUAUGUUUUUACUGACCAUGACAUUAUCACACAGUAGGGGCUAAACAAACAUCAAUAAAAGAGAAUAAGUGACCCAGAACUGUCAGAAAGCUUUUUUUUUUUUUCUGAACACGUUGUAGCAUAUAGCUGUUCAGUGCUUUAGUUGCAUACCAAUUUCACAUCCGCAAUCAGAACUGAUUCCAACUACUACACAAUAAGGUGAGUUUUUGAGGAAAACAAACAUCAGAAAAGAUUACACAACACCACACAGCCAGUAACUCAUAGCAUCAAAACGGUGAUAAGUCAUCUGACCUCCAAGUUCAAAAUUUUUUAAAAAAUAUCUCAGGUUGGUCUUUAAUAGCAUACAACAAUCACUGAAUCACUGUUUUAACUACAUAUAUCAAGCAAUUCAAAGUUCCCUUGUAGCUCAUAUGCUACUCUGUGGAUUAAUCCUCAGACAGUAAAGCAGGAAUACUUGUGUGGAAUUUGUUGAGGACAGACUAUUGAGGAUUUCUUAUAGUUGAAGAAACUGAAGCUGGAAUGUGAGUUAAUGCUUAUUUUAUCUAAAGUGUACCUCAUUUGUCCAAUAAAUUAAUAUAACUAGUUUUGAGAAUGAUUUGGCCAUUGGGCUGACCUGUCUUUGAAAAGGUUUCUCUCCUUCCUUCAAAGGAGAUAUGAAACUAAAUGUCUCCCACUGAACAUUCAUUUCAGGUAGGAUAUUCAACAUGGUUCUUUGCUCUUGACAGGAUUUCACCUUUCCUAGAAAAUUAAUGUGUUCACAAGGGUCAUUUACUAAAUUUAGUCUUACAUUUGUGCAGCUAUCAAAGAAAAGUUCUAAACUGCAAAUUGGACUUUUAAAAAAUUACAAGAAUACCUCACUUUAAAGGCAAAAGAGAUGAGAACACCAAGAUAAGAGAUUUCCCUAUUUUCCUUAAAUUCACAAACCACGGCAUAUGGAAAUUCAUUUAAAAAUAACCUUAUCAAACAGAUUAUAUAGUACAGAAAAGAAUUUUGAUUUCUGAUUCCCUUGCAUGUUAUAAACAUCCACUAUAUACAUUUUCAUUCGUCUUUUGGGGUUUUGAGGAAGCCAUACUUCCAUUUUAUACUGGUUUGAAUACCAGAAUCUUAUUCUGGCUAUGGGUGUGCAAGAGCUAUGAGUUAAUGCCUAUUGUUUUGUUUUCUAGAACAUUCUUCACAAUGACAUUUUUUAAAUUGAUUUUAAUCUUAAUAGCACAUUGAGUCAGUGUUGUCAGAAACUACAAGAUUUUUUCAGGGAUGUUUUAUAGAAUGUUAGUCACAUCAAAUGCAAACAUGUGGAUGUGAUGAUCAAAUAAGUUUAGGAAACACUAGGCAAAGAAAAGCUAAUCAGAUUCCUUUAUUACAGAUCUGUAAUAUGUUACUGUGUGUUGGGGGGUGGUGUCAUAAUUUUUCAAGAGAGGGAACUGGUAUGCAAUAUUUUCCAAACUUAUUUGACACUGGAACCAUUUUCAGACCUCAUCACAUGACAUUAGUAUGCCAAGGAAAAUUCUUUGAGAAAAUGUGAUCAAUGGGAAAAGAUCCCAGAUUCUUCUCUUCGAUUGUUCCUAUGCCCCAGCAUCCUUAUUUUAUAGAUGCGAUUUGGAAUACCUAUGAUGUAUCCACUCACAUUGAAGUUACCUGUCGUUUCUCUGCCUAAGCACACAGAUUCCUCUAAUUCGGCCUUUCACUAUGUGGAAGAGUUUAAUGUUAUUUCUACACUUGAGGUACUCACUGUAGUAUCUCAUCUUUUUAUCACCUAAAAUAUAUUACACAUUUUUCUUUUGAUCCAGCUUGACCAUCAAAAAACUCUUUGUAGUUUAACCAUAACUAUUUUGACCACAUGUAGAAAGCACUUCACUGAGUUUAAUUUGGGAGGUUUUGAUCUUAGUUUUUGUUGAGGGGUAGCAGGAGAAGCAGUCUUAUGAGAUAUAUUAUGGUAAUUACUGUAGGGAUUGUAUUUAAGUCUCUUAGAAAAGAUCCAUAUGCUUUUUUUAGUACUUGAACUAGGAAAACAGCAUGUUUUCUCCUCAUCAAACUAUAAUUGACUGUCUUUAUUUUGAACACCAGGAAGCUUAAAGCCAAGUCAGGGCACAACUGGAUCAAUGAUUUAUGAUCUGAGAGACUGCACAUUUGUGUUAUAUUUUCAUCUCUCCCUAACUUGUGUUAACCUCUCACUCUCUAUUUCCUCUACUGUUAUUUUGCAUUUAUUCAUGAUAUACUAUUUUAUUUUAUGUGUGUUUGUUUUAGUUGAAUUUAUCUUUUUUUUUCUUUAUGGAAUGAUGCAAUAAAAAAACAAAACAAACAUUUAAAAAAAAGGAAGAAAAAUAAUUCUGGUUCCAAUCUUAAUUACUAGAAGCUGUGGUACAAGACAUAACUGAUACUGGGCAAGUAUUUAAUAUUCAUAGUUCAAUUUGGAAUACAUGUCAACGAAGUUCAUGGUAACUGUAUUUUUUUUUUAUGGUGCCAGCAUACACAUUAGAGGAUCAAAGUUCUUCAAUCCUCCUUAAAUGCUUCAGUUAAAAAUCCAUGAAUAUCUAAAGUUUUGACAUAACCAAGAUAGUUAUCAAUUGGGAUGUCAACCAAGACAGCAAUAUAGGAGGGACCCGAAUUCCCCUCCUCCUGUGGACACACUGAAUCCAUGACCACACCAAGAAUAAUUACCUCUCAAAAUAUGUGAAACUAGGAAACAACUACUACACAUCAGGCAAAUGAGAAAAUACCCCACAUCAAAAUAGAUCAGAAAGGCUGAGAUAUAUGUUUGCCAUAAACACUACCCCUGGUCCAGCACCAUUUAAAUGGAAGGGAACUCCUAACUCCCAGCUUUCCCUUGAACCAAGGGUUUGCUCCAAAAUUUAAUACCUAAUUUUUAAGAAUCUCAACUGAAGGGCAGCCCUUCCCCAACAUAUAGCUCUUAAAUCAAUGAAGCUUGUGUUCAAUAAGCCUAUAAAAACAAAGGAGUAGUUUUUAAUGGAUGUGUAAGCAUUUGAUAUAGAGCUACUCUCUCAGAGUUCAGUACAGAGGAAGCAGGCAAAAUUACCCAUCUUAUUGUCUUGUCCAAAAGGAGUCCAUCUGCACAUUUUGAAAACUUCUGCCUGAAGUUUAGGCUUUUGAUUUAACACACAUUUAGGGGCUAGCUUCAGUAGUCCCUGGAAACCAGGGAAACUAACAAACACCUCUCUUACUGAUUCCUGGUAGCAUGCUCCAAGUCACCAGUAUCUCCCUAGAAGGAGCUUGUACAUAUGUGUUCCACUUCGUGCAGCUGCUGCCCAAGGUUGCAAGUCCUUGGUUAUAUCUGGCUCUGGUAGCCAACAGGGCUUCUCUUCGCAAAUCCAACAAGACUGUGACAAUCACAGGUAUCUUCCUAUACCAUGGACCCAGUACAGAGGAAUCAGGGGGAAAAAAUGCUUAUCUCUAGUUUUUCCCUGAAAAGACUUAACUACGCACAUUCACUUCUGCCUGAAGGUCCACAUUCUAGGCACUGAAUGUGACCUUCCCUCUUGGAUACUGACAGGUCUUGGCACACCGUCAACUACUAGGAGUCACUAAGAAUAAAGAGGGAAGCUUGGACAAUUAAAAAGUCUGAGGAAUUUAAAAAAAAAAACAGUAUCUCAUGCUGGACUGAGGGAAGAGGUAUCUCCUAUAUAAGACCACUCUGUCAAAACUGGAAAAGGUGGUCCGAUCUUAAUGAUUUCUUUCUUUCUACUAAUUUUGGGUUUUCUUUUUCUUCUUUCUCUAGUUGUUUUAGGUGUAAGGUUAAGUUGUUUAUUUGAUUUUUUUUGUUGUUUCCUCAGGUAAGUUUGUAUUGCUAUAAACUUUCCUCUUGGGACUGCUUUUGCUGUACACACAUAGAUUUUGCAUCACAGAAGAUCUAAAUACAUCUCUCCAAAGAAGACAUAAAGGUGGCCAAAAGUUACAUGAAAAGAUGCUCAACAUUACUUAUUAUUAAAGAAAUGCAAAUAAUCAAAAUUAUAAUGAGGUAUGAACUCACACUGGUCAGCAUGGCCAUCAUCAAAAAGUCUACAAAUAAUAAAAGCUGGAGAGGGGAAGAAAUAGUGGGAAUGUAAAUUGGUAUAGCCACUAUGGAGAACAAUAUGGAGGCUCCUUAAAAACUAAAAAUAGAGCUAUCAUAUGCUCCUCUAAUCCCACUAUUAGGCAUAUAUAUGGACAAAACUAUAAUUUUAAAAGAUCCAUGUACCCCAAUAUUCACUGCAGCACUAUUUAUAAUUGCAAAGACAUGGAAGCAACCUAAUGUCCAUCGACAGGUGAAUGUAUAAAGAAGAUGUGGUAUACACACCCAAUGGAUAUUACUCAGCCAUAAAAAAAGAAUGGAAUAAUGCCUUUUGCAGCAACAUGGAUGGACCUAGAGAUUAUCAUACUAAGUGAAGUAAGCCAGACAAAGACAGAUAUCAUAUAAUAUCACUUAUAUGUGGAAUAUUUAAAAAUGAUACAAAUCAAAUUAUAUGCAAAACAGAAAUAUAAACAGAAACACAGAAAACAAACUUAUGAUUAACGAAGGUAAGAGAUAAAUAAGGGAUUUGGGAGUAACAUAUACCCAUUACUAUAAAUAAACAGAUAAUCAACAAGGACCUAUUGUAUUAAAUGAAGAACAAUAUUCAAUAUUUUGUAAUAAAAUAUAAGGGAAAAUAAUUUGGAAAAGCCAACUGAAUUACUUUGCUGUACAUCUGAAGCUAACAACAUCAUAAAUCAGCUAUACUUCUAUAAAAAUAAAAUAAUUAAAUGAAAUUAACAAUUUUUGUAGGAUUUUUAUUUUUCUAUUAUAGUUGAUUUACAAUGUUCUGUCGAUUUCUGCUGUACAGCCAAGUGACCCAGCCAUAUAUAUAUAUGUACAUAUAUAUAUUCUUUUUCUCUUAUCCUCCAUCAUGUUCUAUCAUAAGUGACUAGAUAUAGUUCCCUGUACUAUACAGCAGGAUCUCAUUGCUUAUCCACUCCAAAUGCAAUAGUUGAAAGAAAAAGAAACUGGGAAAGGUGGGUGUUUUAUCUCAUGCAUAAAAACCAACACUGACAGUCAACUAAAAUGAAGAAACAGGAAUAUAUUUCAAAAAAGAGAAUAUGAUGACUCUCCAGUAACAGAUCUUAGUGACACAGAUAUAAGUAAUUAACCUGAUAGAGAGUUCAAAGUAAUGAUCAUAAAGAUGCUCAUCAAGUUAAGGAGAGCAAUGCAUGAACAAAAUAAGAAUUUCAACAAAGAGAGAAAAUGUUAAAAAGUACAAAAGAAAAAUCAUAUAGUUGAAGAAUAUAAUAAGUGAACUGAUAAAUUCAAUAGGGAGGUUUAAUAGCAGACUAAAACAACCAAAAGAAGGGAAUAGCACACUUAAAGACAGGACAGUAGAAUUCAUCUAAUC